rnacentral:rRNA from 1 species
GAACAGGGACCCAAGCCCAGCACCGAAUCUCUCGCCUGGUUGAGCGGGCGCCGAGACAUGUGGUGUUCGGGGGUACCGUGCGCGCCUGUCCGACUUCAUCCAAGUCUCCAUGAACGGGGCGAGCAACCCAUAGAGGGUGAUAGGCCCGUAGACCGAUGAUUCGCGACCGUGUACUGGGUAACAUCACCCCCAAGAGUCGGGUUGCUUGAGAGUGCAGCCCUAAGCGGGAGGUAAACUCCUUCUAAGGCUAAAUAUCGCCACGAGACCGAUAGAGAACAAGUACCGCGAGGGAAAGUUGAAAAGAACUUUGAAGAGAGAGUUCAAUAGUGCGUGAAACCGUUCAGGGGGUUAAACGAGUGAGCCCUCGAAGGACGAACGUGGACUGCUACCCGGCAUUUGGUUGCAUGCCCCUCCGCCUGAAAAUUAUGAGAUCUCCGGUCUACGGAGGCUCCGGUUAGAGGGAUCGGAUUAGCCGCGCCAAAGUCCGCAAGUUCAGCCACAAGUAGGACCCUGCGACCGAUUGGGAUGCAUGUUAUACGGUACGGAGUUUAGCGAGGAGUCUGGCGGCGCGAGUCGUCUUUCCGAGCGGCCCCGUAGUCCCAACAUUGCCCUACCGAUCGUGACCUGUUUUCAUGUGGGAGUUGGAGG